rnacentral:rRNA from 1 species
UGGGGAAUUUUGGACAAUGGGCGCAAGCCUGAUCCAGCCAUGCCGCGUGCGGGAAGAAGGCCUUCGGGUUGUAAACCGCUUUUGGCAGGAACGAAACGGCGCGAGCGAAUAUCUCGCGUUAAUGACGGUACCUGCAGAAUAAGCACCGGCUAACUACGUGCCAGCAGCCGCGGUAAUACGUAGGGUGCAAGCGUUAAUCGGAAUUACUGGGCGUAAAGCGUACGCAGGCGGCUUUGCAAGACAGGUGUGAAAUCCCCGGGCCUAACCUGGGAACUGCAUUUGUGACUGCAUAGCUAGAGUCUGUCAGAGGGGGGUGGAAUUCCACGUGUAGCAGUGAAAUGCGUAGAGAUGUGGAAGAACACCGAUGGCGAAGGCAGCCCCCUGGGAUGAGACUGACGCUCAUGUACGAAAGCGUGGGGAGCAAACA